AUGCAAGUCGAGUGCGCGGUUGUAGCAAUACAACUGGCGCACGGCGCACGGGUGCGUAACACGUGGGCAAUCUGCCCUCCGAUGGGGAAUAACUCCGGGAAACCGAAGCUAAUUCCGCAUAACAUUCCCUGGACCCUGGUUCGGGGAAUCAAAGCAGUGAUGCGUCGGAGGAGGAGCCCGCGCCCGAUUAGCUAGUUGGCGAGGUAACGGCUCACCAAGGCAAUGAUCGGUAGCUGGUCUGAGAGGAUGGCCAGCCACACUGGAACUGAGACACGGUCCAGACUCCUACGGGAGGCAGCAGUGGGGAAUCUUGCGCAAUGGGCGAAAGCCUGACGCAGCGACGCCGCGUGGGGGAUGAAGCUUCUCGGAGUGUAAACCCCUUUCGACUGGGACGAAUGCCCGCAAGGGAGUGACGGUACCAGUAGAAGAAGCCCCGGCUAACUACGUGCCAGCAGCCGCGGUAAGACGUAGGGGGCCAGCGUUGUUCGGAAUUACUGGGUGUAAAGGGUUCGUAGGCGGUGUGGCAAGUCGGGAGUGAAAUCUUUGGGCUUAACUCAAAGGCUGCUUCCGAAACUGCUGUGCUG
rnacentral:rRNA from 1 species